rnacentral:rRNA from 1 species
UACAGAGGUCCCAAGCGUUGUUCGGAUUCACUGGGCGUAAAGGGUGCGCAGGUGGUCGGGUAAGUCUGACGUGAAAUCCCGCAGCUUAACUGCGGAAUGGCAUUGGAUACUAUUCGGCUAGAGGGUUGGAGGGGGGACUGGAAUUGCUCGGUGUAGCAGUGAAAUGCGUAGAUAUCGAGAGGAACACCAGUGGCGAAGGCGAGUCCCUGGACAACUCCUGACGCUGAGGCACGAAAGCUAGGGGAGCAAACAGG